rnacentral:lncRNA from 1 species
AACAAUUGACAAGACAUUAAAACACAAAUAACAAAUUAAAAAAAAGCACAACUUGUACUGACAAAGGAGAUAAGCACUAAAAUAAUCCUUCAAUUAACAAUAAGCCUAACAAAUAUCAAUCAUCAUUUUGUCUAGAUGCUUGCCAUUCAUUAAACAUUUGAUUUGCUAAUUCCAUUUUCAAAUUACUCCAAAUAUCAGUAAGAUCAAUAGUACUUAUAAAAUCCUCCUCAACUAUUAUGUUGGUUUGAAUAUAUUCCCCUAUAUCAAC